UCCAUUGUGAAGUGGAAUCUGAAGGAAGUCGGACGCAAACACUCGCACUGACGAACAGAAAUAUCAUAUAAGGCUAUGUAGAAUGGACGAAUCUGCAAUUCAAGAUAAAGU
rfam:Staphylococcus microti strain DSM 22147 contig_196, whole genome shotgun sequence.